UACGUAGGGUGCGAGCGUUAAUCGGAAUUACUGGGCGUAAAGCGUGCGCAGGCGGUCUGCUAAGACAGGUGUGAAAUCCCUGGGCUCAACCUAGGAAUUGCGCUUGUGACUGGCGGGCUAGAGUACGGUAGAGGGGGGUGGAAUUCCUGGUGUAGCAGUGAAAUGCGUAGAGAUCAGGAGGAACACCGAUGGCGAAGGCAGCCCCCUGGGCCUGUACUGACGCUCAGGCACGAAAGCGUGGGGAGAAAACAGG
rnacentral:rRNA from 1 species